GGGGUAGAGUAAUGCGUGACCAACCUGCCCCGUGCUCCAGAAUAGCUCUUGGAAACGGGUGGUAAUGCUGGAUGCUCCAACUUGACGCAUGUCUUGCUGGGAAAGUGUUUAGUGGCAUGGGAUGGGGUCGCGUCCUAUCAGCUUGUAGGCGGGGUAAUGGCCCACCUAGGCUUCGACGGGUAGCCGGCCUGAGAGGGCGGACGGCCACAUUGGGACUGAGAUACGGCCCAGACUCCUACGGGAGGCAGCAGCG
rnacentral:rRNA from 1 species